rnacentral:rRNA from 1 species
UAUGACGUACUUGUACUGAUUGAGAUUUUAACACGAAGUGAGUGGCGAACGGGUGAGUAACACGUGGGUAACCUGCCCAGAAGUAGGGGAUAACACCUGGAAACAGAUGCUAAUACCGUAUAACAGAGAAAACCGCAUGGUUUUCUUUUAAAAGAUGGCUCUGCUAUCACUUCUGGAUGGACCCGCGGCGUAUUAGCUAGUUGGUGAGGUAAAGGCUCACCAAGGCAGUGAUACGUAGCCGACCUGAGAGGGUAAUCGGCCACAUUGGGACUGAGACACGGCCCAGACUCCUACGGGAGGCAGCAGUAGGGAAUCUUCCACAAUGGACGCAAGUCUGAUGGAGCAACGCCGCGUGAGUGAAGAAGGGUUUCGGCUCGUAAAGCUCUGUUGUUAAAGAAGAACGUGGGUAAGAGUAACUGUUUACCCAGUGACGGUAUUUAACCAGAAAGCCACGGCUAACUACGUGCCAGCAGCCGCGGUAAUACGUAGGUGGCAAGCGUUAUCCGGAUUUAUUGGGCGUAAAGCGAGCGCAGGCGGUCUUUUAAGUCUAAUGUGAAAGCCUUCGGCUCAACCGAAGAAGUGCAUUGGAAACUGGGAGACUUGAGUGCAGAAGAGGACAGUGGAACUCCAUGUGUAGCGGUGAAAUGCGUAGAUAUAUGGAAGAACACCAGUGGCGAAGGCGGCUGUCUGGUCUGCAACUGACGCUGAGGCUCGAAAGCAUGGGUAGCGAACAGGAUUAGAUACCCUGGUAGUCCAUGCCGUAAACGAUGAUUACUAAGUGUUGGAGGGUUUCCGCCCUUCAGUGCUGCAGCUAACGCAUUAAGUAAUCCGCCUGGGGAGUACGACCGCAAGGUUGAAACUCAAAAGAAUUGACGGGGGCCCGCACAAGCGGUGGAGCAUGUGGUUUAAUUCGAAGCUACGCGAAGAACCUUACCAGGUCUUGACAUCUUCUGACAGUCUAAGAGAUUAGAGGUUCCCUUCGGGGACAGAAUGACAGGUGGUGCAUGGUUGUCGUCAGCUCGUGUCGUGAGAUGUUGGGUUAAGUCCCGCAACGAGCGCAACCCUUAUUACUAGUUGCCAGCAUUAAGUUGGGCACUCUAGUGAGACUGCCGGUGACAAACCGGAGGAAGGUGGGGACGACGUCAAAUCAUC